rnacentral:rRNA from 1 species
UACGAAGGGGGCUAGCGUUGUUCGGAAUCACUGGGCGCAAAGCGCACGUAGGCGGAUCUUUAAGUCAGGGGUGAAAUCCCGAGGCUCAACCUCGGAACUGCCUUUGAUACUGGGGAUCUCGAGUCCGGGAGAGGUGAGUGGAACUGCGAGUGUAGAGGUGAAAUUCGUAGAUAUUCGCAAGAACACCAGUGGCGAAGGCGGCUCACUGGCCCGAUACUGACGCUGAGGCACGAAAGCGUGGGGAGCGAACAGG